GCGGGUGUAGCUCAGUGGCUAGAGCGCCAGCCUUCCAAGCUGGGGGUCACGGGUUCGAAUCCCGCCACCCGCUCCA
rnacentral:tRNA from 1 species